rnacentral:rRNA from 1 species
CCAAUAGCGUAUAUUAAAGUUGUUGCAGUUAAAAAGCUCGUAGUUGAAUUUCGGGAUUGACACAUCGGUCGUGCCUUAAGGGGUAUGAACUGGUGUAGUCAAUUUCUCACCUUCUGGAGAACCGCGAUGCCCUUAAUUGGGUGUCGCGGGAAACCAGGACCUUUACUUUGAAAAAAUUAGAGUGUUUAAAGCAGGCAUUUUGCUUGAAUACAUUAGCAUGGAAUAAUAAAAUAGGACGGCAUGAUUCUAUUUUGUUGGUUUCUAGGAUCACCGUAAUGAUUAAUAGGGAUAGUUGGGGGCAUUAGUAUUCAAUUGGCAGAGGUGAAAUUCUUGGAUUUAUUGAAGACUAACUACUGCGAAAGCAUUUGCCAAGGAUGUUUUCAUUAAUCAAGAACGAAAGUUAGGGGAUCGAAGACGAUCAGAUACCGUCGUAGUCUUAACCAUAAACUAUGCCGACUAGGAAUCAGACGAUGUUAAUUUUUUAAUGACUCGUUUGGCACCUUACG